GACGAACGCUGGCGGCGUGCUUAACACAUGCAAGUCGAACGGAAAGGCACCAGCUUGCUGGAGUACUCGAGUGGCGAACGGGGGAGUAACACGUGGGCGAUCUGCCCUGCACUUCGGGAUAAGCUUGGGAAACUGGGCCUAAUAUCGGAUCGGAUAGCACCUUCGUGUGUGUGCUGGAAAGGUUUUUCUGGUGUGGGAUGAGCUGGCGGCCUAUCGGUUUGUCGGGGGGGUAAUGUCCUGCCACGCCGGCGCCGGGUAGCCGGCCUGGGGGGCUGGACGGCGACAUUGGGACCUAGAGACGGCCCAGGCGCCUACGGGAGGAAGCAGGGGGGAAUAUUGCACAAGGGGGGAAGCCCUGAUGCAGCGGCGCCGCGGGUGGGAUAAAGGCCUUCGGGUGGUAGACACCUUGCGCGAGAGACCAAGCUUGUUGUGACGGUACCUGGAGAAGAAGCACCGGCUAACUACGUG
rnacentral:rRNA from 1 species